CCCUUAGAUGUUCUGGGCCGCACGCGCGCUACACUGAUGCAUUCAACGAGCCUAUCCUUGACCGACAGGUCCGGGUAAUCUUUGAAUCUGCAUCGUGACGGGGAUAGAUUAUUGCAAUUAUUAAUCUUCAACGAGGAAUGCCUAGUAGGCGCAAGUCAUCAGCUUGCGUCGAUUACGUCCCUGCCCUUUGUACACACCGCCCGUCGCACCUACCGAUUGAAUGGUCCGGUGAAGCCUCGGGAUUGUGGCUGGUUUCCUUUAUUGGAGGUCGGUUGCGAGAACUUGUCUAAACCUUAUCAUUUAGAGGAAGGUGAAGUCGUAACA
rnacentral:rRNA from 1 species